rnacentral:lncRNA from 1 species
CCAUUAGCAUCUAACGUUUAGUAUGUUAGGUUCAAGAUUUGGAUCUGGAAAGAGGAUUCGAGAUGUGUCCAUAACAAUCUUGAGUUUAUUUUUCUGGGUUUUUCUAAUGACUCAAGGUUCUUCCAUAGCAGAUACAAUAUUGACAGGCCUCAUUUUUGGAUGCAACUUGAUUUUUAUAAUUCAAAAUGCUGGCUAAUGUGGCAGUUAGGGAGGCAAAAGGGAGAUAACUAU